rnacentral:rRNA from 1 species
UACAGAGGGUGCGAGCGUUAAUCGGAAUUACUGGGCGUAAAGCGUGCGUAGACGGCUAUCUAAGUCGGGUGUGAAAGCCCCGGGCUCAACCUGGGAAUUGCAUUCGAGACUGAAUAGCUAGGGUGCGGUAGAGGGAAGCGGAAUUUCCGGUGUAGCGGUGAAAUGCGUAGAUAUCGGGAGGAACACCAAUGGCGAAGGCAGCUCGCUGGGACGUUACUGACGCUGAGACGCGAAAGCGUGGGGAGCAAACAGG